AUUGAACGCUGGCGGCAUGCAUUACACAUGCAAGUCGAACGGCAGCACGGGAGCAAUCCUGGUGGCGAGUGGCGAACGGGUGAGUAAUAUAUCGGAACGUGCCCAGUCGUGGGGGAUAACGUAGCGAAAGCUACGCUAAUACCGCAUACGAUCUAUGGAUGAAAGCGGGGGAUCGCAAGACCUCGCGCGAUUGGAGCGGCCGAUAUCAGAUUAGGUAGUUGGUGGGGUAAAGGCUCACCAAGCCGAGGAUCUGUAGCUGGUCUGAGAGGACGACCAGCCACACUGGGACUGAGACACGGCCCAGACUCCUACGGGAGGCAGCAGUGGGGAAUUUUGGACAAUGGGCGCAAGCCUGAUCCAGCAAUGCCGCGUGCAGGAUGAAGGCCUUCGGGUUGUAAACUGCUUUUGUACGGAACGAAACGGCGAGCUCUAAUACAGUUUGCUAAUGACGGUACCGUAAGAAUAAGCACCGGCUAACUACGUGCCAGCAGCCGCCGUAA
rnacentral:rRNA from 1 species